UCUGACCUCAAAUCAGGUAGGACUACCCGCUGAACUUAAGCAUAUCAAUAAGCGGAGGAAAAGAAACUAACAAGGAUUCCCCUAGUAACUGCGAGUGAAGCGGGAAAAGCUCAAAUUUAAAAUCUGGCAGCUUUGGCUGUCCGAGUUGUAGUCUGGAGAAGCGUUUUCUGUGCUGGACCGUGUACAAGUCUCUUGGAACAGAGCGUCGUAGAGGGUGAGAAUCCCGUCUUUGACACGGACUCCCAGUGCUUUGUGAUGCGCUCUCAAAGAGUCGAGUUGUUUGGGAAUGCAGCUCAAAAUGGGUGGUAAAUUCCAUCUAAAGCUAAAUAUUGGCGAGAGACCGAUAGCGAACAAGUACCGUGAGGGAAAGAUGAAAAGCACUUUGGAAAGAGAGUUAAACAGUACGUGAAAUUGCUGAAAGGGAAACGAUUGAAGUCAGUCGCGUCGGCCAGAACUCAGCCUGGCUUUUGCCUGGUGCAUUUUCUGGUUGACGGGCCAGCAUCAAUUUUGAUCGCUGGAUAAAGGCCUUGGGAAUGUGGCACCUUCGGGUGUGUUAUAGCCCUUGGUUGUAUACAGUGGUUGGGAUUGAGGAUCACAGCAUGCCUUUAUGGCCGGGGUUCGCCCACGUUCAUGCUUAGGAUGCUGGCGUAAUGGCUUUAAACGACCCGUCUUGAAACACGGACCAAGGAGUCUAACAUGCCUGCGAGUGUUUGGGUGGAAAACCCGAGCGCGCAAUGAAAGUGAAAGUUGGGAUCCCUGUCGCGGGGAGCACCGACGCCCGGACCAGACCUUUUGUGACGGAUCCGCGGUAGAGCAUGUAUGUUGGGACCCGAAAGAUGGUGAACUAUGCCUGAAUAGGGUGAAGCCAGAGGAAACUCUGGUGGAGGCUCGUAGCGAUUCUGACGUGCAAAUCGAUCGUCAAAUUUGGGUAUAGGGGCGAAAGACUAAUCGAACCAUCUAGUAGCUGGUUCCUGCCGAAGUUUCCCUCAGGAUAGCAGAAACUCAUGUCAGAUUUAUGUGGUAAAGCGAAUGAUUAGAGGCCUUGGGGUUGAAACAACCUUAACCUAUUCUCAAACUUUAAAUAUGUAAGA
rnacentral:rRNA from 1 species